rnacentral:hammerhead_ribozyme from 1 species
AUCCAGCUGACGAGUCCCAAAUAGGACGAAACACUCGUCGUGGAU